UACGUAGGGUGCGAGCGUUAAUCGGAAUUACUGGGCGUAAAGCGUGCGCAGGCGGUUUUGUAAGCCAGGUGUGAAAUCCCCGGGCUCAACCUGGGAAUGGCAUUUGGGACUGCAAGGCUGGAGUGCGGCAGAGGAGACUGGAAUUCCUGGUGUAGCAGUGAAAUGCGUAGAUAUCGGAAGGAACGCCGGUGGCGAAAGCGACACACUGGGUCUCAACUGACGCUGAGGCACGAAAGCCAGGGGAGCGAACGGG
rnacentral:rRNA from 1 species